rnacentral:pre_miRNA from 1 species
GCGGGGAGCCGAUGGGCCGCGGGAGAGGAGAGAGAGAGGGAGAGGGGAGUGGGCCGAGCCGGCCCAAGAGGGAAGGGGGGGGGGGGAAAGAGGACUUUUUAGGAUUUUUCUUUUUAUAAACCUUUUUCCACUUUGUUUAUUUCUUUUCAAUUAUUAUUUG